ACUAUCGUUAACUGAAUACAUAGGUUAACGAGGCGAACCGGGGGAACUGAAACAUCUAAGUACCCCGAGGAAAAGAAAUCAACCGAGAUUCCCCCAGUAGCGGCGAGCGAACGGGGAGCAGCCCAGAGUCUGAAUCAGCUUGUGUGUUAGUGGAACGGUCUGGAAAGUCCGACGGUACAGGGUGAUAGUCCCGUACACCAAAAUGCACAGGUUGUGAACUCGAAGAGUAGGGCGGGACACGUGGUAUCCUGUCUGAAUAUGGGGGGACCAUCCUCCAAGGCUAAAUACUCCUGACUGACCGAUAGUGAACCAGUACCGUGAGGGAAAGGCGAAAAGAACCCCGGCGAGGGGAGUGAAAAAGAACCUGAAACCGUGUACGUACAAGCAGUGGGAGCACCUUCGGGUGUGACUGCGUACCUUUUGUAUAAUGGGUCAGCGACUUAUAUUCUGUAGCAAGGUUAACCGUAUAGGGGAGCCGCAGGGAAACCGAGUCUUAACUGGGCGUUAAGUUGCAGGGUAUAGACCCGAAACCCGGUGAUCUAGCCAUGGGCAGGUUGAAGGUUGGGUAACACUAACUGGAGGACCGAACCGACUAAUGUUGAAAAAUUAGCGGAUGACUUGUGGCUGGGGGUGAAAGGCCAAUCAAACCGGGAGAUAGCUGGUUCUCCCCGAAAGCUAUUUAGGUAGCGCCUCGUGAACUCAUCUUCGGGGGUAGAGCACUGUUUCGGCUAGGGGGUCAUCCCGACUUACCAACCCGAUGCAAACUACGAAUACCGAAGAAUGUUAUCACGGGAGACACACGGCGGGUGCUAACGUCCGUCGUGAAGAGGGAAACAACCCAGACCGCCAGCUAAGGUCCCAAAGUCAUGGUUAAGUGGGAAACGAUGUGGGAAGGCACAGACAGCCAGGAUGUUGGCUUAGAAGCAGCCAUCAUUUAAAGAAAGCGUAAUAGCUCACUGGUCGAGUCGGCCUGCGCGGAAGAUGUAACGGGGCUAAACCAUGCACCGAAGCUGCGGCAGCGACACUUAUGUGUUGUUGGGUAGGGGAGCGUUCUGUAAGCCUGCGAAGGUGGCCUGUGAGGGUUGCUGGAGGUAUCAGAAGUGCGAAUGCUGACAUAAGUAACGAUAAAGCGGGUGAAAAGCCCGCUCGCCGGAAGACCAAGGGUUCCUGUCCAACGUUAAUCGGGGCAGGGUGAGUCGACCCCUAAGGCGAGGCCGAAAGGCGUAGUCGAUGGGAAACAGGUUAAUAUUCCUGUACUUGGUGUUACUGCGAAGGGGGGACGGAGAAGGCUAUGUUAGCCGGGCGACGGUCGUCCCGGUUUAAGCAUGUAGGCGGAGGUUCCAGGUAAAUCCGGUACCUUUUAACGCUGAGGUGUGAUGACGAGGCACUACGGUGCUGAAGUAACAAAUGCCCUGCUUCCAGGAAAAGCCUCUAAGCAUCAGGUAACAUUAAAUCGUACCCCAAACCGACACAGGUGGUCAGGUAGAGAAUACCAAGGCGCUUGAGAGAACUCGGGUGAAGGAACUAGGCAAAAUGGUGCCGUAACUUCGGGAGAAGGCACGCUGGUGUGUAGGUGAAGUCCCUGCGGAUGGAGCUGAGACCAGUCGAAGAUACCAGCUGGCUGCAACUGUUUAUUAAAAACACAGCACUGUGCAAACACGAAAGUGGACGUAUACGGUGUGACGCCUGCCCGGUGCCGGAAGGUUAAUUGAUGGGGUUAUCCGUAAGGAGAAGCUCUUGAUCGAAGCCCCGGUAAACGGCGGCCGUAACUAUAACGGUCCUAAGGUAGCGAAAUUCCUUGUCGGGUAAGUUCCGACCUGCACGAAUGGCGUAAUGAUGGCCAGGCUGUCUCCACCCGAGACUCAGUGAAAUUGAACUCGCUGUGAAGAUGCAGUGUACCCGCGGCAAGACGGAAAGACCCCGUGAACCUUUACUAUAGCUUGACACUGAACAUUGAGCCUUGAUGUGUAGGAUAGGUGGGAGGCUUUGAAGCGUGGACGCCAGUCUGCGUGGAGCCAACCUUGAAAUACCACCCUUUAAUGUUUGAUGUUCUAACGUUGGCCCCUUAUCGGGGUUGCGGACAGUGUCUGGUGGGUAGUUUGACUGGGGCGGUCUCCUCCCAAAGAGUAACGGAGGAGCACGAAGGUUAGCUAAUCCUGGUCGGACAUCAGGAGGUUAGUGCAAUGGCAUAAGCUAGCUUGACUGCGAGCGUGACGGCGCGAGCAGGUGCGAAAGCAGGUCAUAGUGAUCCGGUGGUUCUGAAUGGAAGGGCCAUCGCUCAACGGAUAAAAGGUACUCCGGGGAUAACAGGCUGAUACCGCCCAAGAGUUCAUAUCGACGGCGGUGUUUGGCACCUCGAUGUCGGCUCAUCACAUCCUGGGGCUGAAGUAGGUCCCAAGGGUAUGGCUGUUCGCCAUUUAAAGUGGUACGCGAGCUGGGUUUAGAACGUCGUGAGACAGUUCGGUCCCUAUCUGCCGUGGGCGCUGGAGAAUUGAGGGGGGCUGCUCCUAGUACGAGAGGACCGGAGUGGACGCAUCACUGGUGUUCGGGUUGUCAUGCCAAUGGCACUGCCCGGUAGCUAAAUGCGGAAGAGAUAAGUGCUGAAAGCAUCUAAGCACGAAACUUGCCCCGAGAUGAGUUCU
rnacentral:rRNA from 1 species